rnacentral:rRNA from 1 species
UACGAAGGUGGCAAGCGUUGUUCGGAUUUACUGGGCGUAAAGGGAGCGUAGGUGGUUAGGUAAGCCCUCCGGGAAAUCUUCAGGCUUAACCUGAAAAGGUCGGGGGGGACUGCCUGGCUAGAGGACGGGAGAGGAGCGCGGAAUUCCCGGUGUAGCGGUGAAAUGCGUAGAGAUCGGGAGGAAGGCCGGUGGCGAAGGCGGCGCUCUGGAACGUUUCUGACACUGAGGCUCGAAAGCGUGGGGAGCAAACAGGAUUAGAUACCCUGGUAGUCCACGCCCUAAACUAUGGACACUAAGUGCCGGCGGGUUACCGUCGGUGCCGCAGCUAACGCAUUAAGUGUCCCGCCUGGGGAGUACGGCCGCAAGGUUGAA